UACGGAGGGGGCUAGCGUUGUUCGGAAUUACUGGGCGUAAAGCGCACGUAGGCGGCUUUUUAAGUCAGGGGUGAAAUCCUGGAGCUCAACUCCAGAACUGCCUUUGAUACUGGAAAGCUCGAGUCCGGAAGAGGUGAGUGGAACUGCGAGUGUAGAGGUGAAAUUCGUAGAUAUUCGCAAGAACACCAGUGGCGAAGGCGGCUCACUGGUCCGGUACUGACGCUGAGGUGCGAAAGCGUGGGGAGCAAACAGG
rnacentral:rRNA from 1 species